ensembl:snRNA U6 U6 spliceosomal RNA
UUUUAAAUAAAUAAAUAAAUAAAUAAAUAAAUUGUAAUGAUACAGAGAGGAUUAGCUGGGUCCCUGCACAAGGAGAGCAUGCAAAUUCAUGAAGCCUUCCAAUAUUUA